CAGCAGCCGCGGUAAUACGUAGGUGGCAAGCGUUGUCCGGAAUUAUUGGGCGUAAAGCGCGCGCAGGUGGUUUAAUAGGUCUGAUGUGAAAGCCCACGGCUCAACCGUGGAGGGUCAUUGGAAACUGUUAAACUUGAGUGCAGGAGAGAAAAGUGGAAUUCCUAGUGUAGCGGUGAAAUGCGUAGAGAUUAGGAGGAACACCAGUGGCGAAGGCGGCUUUUUGGCCUGUAACUGACACUGAGGCGCGAAAGCGUGGGGAGCAAACAGGAUUAGAUACCCCUGUAGUCCCUGUCUCUUAUAC
rnacentral:rRNA from 1 species